GACGAACGCUGGCGGCGUGCUUAACACAUGCAAGUCGAACGGUGAAGCGCCUUCCUUUUUGGUGGGUGCGGAUGAGUGGCGAACGGGUGAGUAACACGUGAGUAACCUGCCCCCUUCUUCUGGAUAACCGCAUGAAAGUGUGGCUAAUACGGGAUAUUCUGGGUCUGUCGCAUGAUGGGUCUGGGAAAGAUAUUGUUUCGGUGGGGGAUGGGCUCGCGGCCUAUCAGCUUGUUGGUGGGGUGAUGGCCUACCAAGGCGGUGACGGGUAGCCGGCCUGAGAGGGUGGACGGUCACACUGGGACUGAGACACGGCCCAGACUCCUACGGGAGGCAGCAGUGGGGAAUAUUGCACAAUGGGCGCAAGCCUGAUGCAGCGACGCCGCGUGAGGGAUGGAGGCCUUCGGGUUGUGAACCUCUUUCGCCAGUGAAGCAGGCCUGCCUCGUCUGUGGGUGGGUUGACGGUAGCUGGAUAAGAAGCGCCGGCUAACUACGUG
rnacentral:rRNA from 1 species